GGAACCCGCUCAGACGGAGAGAGAAAGAGUGUGUGUGAGCGAGAGGAAGAAAUACCUAAGGCUUUGAUGUCAGGCUGUCGUCUUGAGAAGCAGUGGUGUUUAGUCUGCACAGAUCCCAGUGAGUCUAGGCGUGUCCUGGAAAAACCACAGCCCAGCAUUCCGACAGCUCAGUCCUCUCCAGAAGAAAAAAACAUUUGGCCUUCAUGCUCUGACAGGGAUGACACAUGCUGCUUCCCUCCAGGCACUGGUGCACAGAUGACAUCAGAGUCGUCAGUACUGAACCUGUUCCUAGGAUUAGGCCUUUUCAGAAGUCUGUUUAACGAGUGUGCAGGUGACUGCUGGGUGACCUUUCUUCAGCAUUGCUCCAAAUAUUUCAGAUCCGCUCAGGUGAGAAAAGUCCCCCUCCUACUGCCUGCUGGUUUUGCUGGCAGUGAAUGCCUGACUUUGAAAGACUGCCACCUGCCACCCUGCCCCCGCCUUCAGAAGGUGACGCCUUCAGCCAGAGUCUCAACAAGCCCAGGCACACCCUUGGGACUGCAGUCUCUACUUCAGUUCUCCUUGUGCGUCCUCGACAAACUGCCACAUCUGCUUUGCAAGCAGGCGGCUCACAGGCUGCCCAUGUAAUUGCACUGGUAUGAAAGAGCUGGUGCUUCUGAUAGAAACCAGCGGCCUCCUAAAUCUCAGCUCUGUAACAGGGAGCUGAUGUCCUGUCAGCAAAUGUUCUGUCCCUUUGAAGAGGGAUUUUCUUAGUGUAAUUUAAAAAUAAAGAAUGCACUACAUGAAUAUGAAAAGGAAGACUCAUACCCCAGUUACAGCAAAAAGUGACAAAAAUCUCUUUAAGCAGGGAUGUCCAGUUCUGCUCCUGUUACUGGUCCAAUCACCGUUAAAUCACCAGUUUAUGAAGACAUUGAACAAUUCCAGAGUUCUCGCUUAAAGAGUGGUACAGGAGGAAAGCAGCUCUUGUCUAAUAUCUGGGAGGACCCCUGCUGUCCAGGCUCACUGUACUCCUCCCAACAUGGCAGACACUACUGACCCAGUGCAAUCAGAAGAACAGUGAGAAACCAGAGGAGCCUCUGAGUCCAUCUAUCCUGCCUGCCUGUUCCUGGCUAAUUGAUCUAAGUUAUCUCGUCAUGCUGUUUCUCUCUGGAAUCCAGGAUGUCAGAUUUGACAACAUGUCUGUGUAGCUUGUUCCAGACUCCCACAACCCUUUCGGCAAAUGGAGUGCCACCUGUUUUUGUUUAUAAACUACAUUUCCCUGUAGUUCUCACUGGUGUCCUUCGGUUCCUGCUCCACUCUUUAUUCCAAAGAAAUUCACUGGGCUGAAUUUGUCUAUGCCUUUGAGGGUUUUAAUUCUUGGAUUAUGUCCAUUCAUUGUCUUCCCUGUUCAAGAUUAAAAACAGAGGUUUAGUUCUAUUCAAAACAAGUUCAGUUCCUUCUGCCUCUCAGUGUAGGACAUUCCUUUAAACCCAGGAAUGCAUCUGGUUAUUCUUUAUUGGACUGAUUCGAGAGCAGCAUGAUUUUUUGUACGUGGAGACUGAAAUUAAAAUAAUAAUUUAAAUUAUGCCUUGUUAGUGAAUUAUAAACUUUUAACAUGAUGCUCUUUGAUUUAAAUUCUACACUUUUAACUACAGUAUAUAUCCUACCAAUUUGUUUGUCCUUUUUAUCGCUUUCCAACAUUGUCUUAAAUAUUCAAAUGAAAAACAUUAUUUUUCAUUAGUAACUUCUUAAUGUAUCCAAUUUUAUAUAUAGAGGCUAUCUCUGCUGCCUGUAUAUAACCCGCUGUACUUGAAAUAUUAGCUGUCAGGUGUUUACUUAACCUCAAAUUUAGCCCAAGGUGUUUUGAAUGUCUUUUGCAGCUUCUGGUGUUUUCUUAUCCUCUGGAAUCACCUAUGAACUUGACCGGUUUUCUAAUUAUCCCAGAAUCUAGAUAUGCAUUUAGAAGAGCAGAGGUCCCUAAUACAGGUCCCUGUGGUACUCCAUUGAUUACAUCAAUUCAACAUGAGCAUUUGCUCAUUAACUAUACUCUCUUCUCUGUCCACUACCCAGUUCUCAAUCUAAACACAUGCUUUACCUAGAAAACCUGCUGUCAGCAAUUUAAGAAUGAAUCUUUUUAUGAGGAACAGUUCUGACAUUCCAGAAGCUCAGUAUUGCUCCAUAUAUGGUUGAUUCUACCCAAAACCAUCACAGCGGCAUCUGAUUGUAAGAUCGGGUCAUUCUGCCUCAUAGAUGUCAGCUCAGGUCUACAACAGGCUUAAACUCCCCAGGCCCUCUAUAUCACCAAGAGUACUAAAACAUCCAUAAACUAAGCAAACAACUAAUAUUAUUUACUCAUCCUGUCUUGAUUAAUCCUGUGAAUAGAGAUUACCUGAUAAUAUUAAAAUACUUUUUUGUGUUUUGUGCGCU